CCUGAAAAAGAAUUUCAAUCUCAAUCGAUCGUUAUCGAGACGGGAGGAGGAAGGGGGGGGGGAGAAAAAGCUUCCUCGACAGGAAAACGAGAACAAUUUCUUCGUUAACGCCGUCGAACGCUAUAUUUCGUAUGCUUCGAAAAACGAUUUGAAUUCGAGUCGCGUGGGUUACACAACGUCGACCGGGUCACGACUCCUCCAUUGUCUCGUUCGGUUGAUUUUCGAAAAAUAAGAAUUAGGAAAUAUUCCACUCCAAAUACCUGUGUACCAGAGAGAGCAUCCUAUCCUCGUUUCCGCGAGGUUACAAUGCGAAAUCAAUUGGAGGCUAUUUAUCGUGCCACGUUUAACCCAUUUCACCGGGGCAAUCGAACGGUCGACCGCUUCGUACCCCGCGGGAAUAUUUCGUAUGCGGGUCGGAUAUUCUUUAACCGGAGUUGUUUCUCCGUUUGAAAUGAACGAGACUGUACGAAUUUCUUUAUUGAGUCCACCGCUGACUGUUCGCCGGUCUUUGAAAACCCGAUCGACUCCGAGGAUCGUUUGUGGAAAUUAUUUAGAAUUGGUGAAUACGGUGGGGAUUUGGGGGCUUCCUUUUGUGGUUGAUUGGAAGCGUGAAUUUUUUAAGACGAAGAAAGAGAGAGAGAGAGAGAGAACGAGAGGAAGAAUCGAGAAUCGUUAUCUUCUUUUCUGAUUAAUUUCCUUCUCGCCAGCAAUUUCGGAUAAUUGAAUCUUUCGAAUUUUCGAAGAUAGAACUAUAAGAGUUCUUUUGUGAUUUGUUAACUUUUUCGAUAACGAAUUUUAAGAAAUUUUAAAUUUAUUCGACGAUGAACAAUGUUUUCGUUAUAAUUUUCUAUUAUAUUAUCCACGACGGAAAAAUAUUUAUUUAUAUCGAUCAUUUAUUUAUUUUUACCAUCAUUUAUCCAUUUUGUUUUUACAUUCCUUUUUCUUUUUUUUUUUUAUCACAAAUAACGUGCCGAGUAUCGGUUGUUUUAAAAGAAUCGUGCAGGGUUAUCGGAAGUGUCAUUCGAUUUCCGCGGAUUCUAGAUCGAUUCUGAUCCACCCCCUCGUGCGUAUUCUAUGAAUCUCGCCGAAACGUUACGAAUUAUGUAAAUAACGAUAGAAGCGUGCAUAUAACGCAACCGGAUUCAUCUGCUCCAGUUCAGCUGAUACGUCAGCCUCAUGUGUCAUGUGACACAUGAUCCACUUGUUUUCUGCGUGCCUAUCGGAACAUAUUCGCUCUUGACAAUUAAUACACACCAGCGAUCGACGAAUCAUCAUCCAAUUACGUAUAAACGAACAAAGAACACCAUGUAUAAUAGUAAUAUUAUUUUCUGCCUGUUAUUCACUUAGGGAAAAUGGCGGUGCAAGACGAGUUUCCUUGAAAGCGGAUAUCCAAUCCUGUUUUCCGCCCGUGAAAAUCAAGUUUAAAGAUUCAGGAGCGCGGUAUGGCUCGCGUAAAACUUUAAGUGUACAUUGAGACUGGACGAGAAGACAGGCGGGAAUCGUGGAACGAAACAUUUGGAGAUUGCAACUCGACGAAUAAUCAAACUCUGGAUUGAAUAAAAUCUAAUCUCCAUCUUGAGUUAAGAAAACUCUCGAGGAUUAAACUUGAAGCGGCCACAAAAGGCUCUCGCAAAAGUCGAAAGAAGUUUCAAUCCUCGCUGUUCAUCGAAACGGGGAGACUGUGAUUUGCAAAGAAAAAAGAGAGAGAGAGGGAAGAGCAACGAAGAGAGGACGAUAUUUUUCUAUCGUCAAUUUCCACGAACGUCGGUGGAUCGACCGUCUUUUUUUGCGGAAGCGGCAAGAGAUGACGGCAAGAAGGCGAGAUAAAUCUCUGUUAUUCCGAGAACAGUGACGAUGACAGUUUCUAACAAGAUUUUCGUGAAUAAAGGCACGUAAGAUUGGGCCAUCACGAUUAUCGCCUAUUUCGUAAUGCUUGAUUAACCGAGAACUUGCGAGACACUGUUCUAAUUUAUCAGCGAUGAUAAAUCACAGACAAGAAGAAUUUUCUUUUCUUAGCCGUCGUUUAUUCCUAGAUUUUUUUUUUUUUUGGAUAUCAUUGACGUAUACAGUGUAAUAGAAUUAUUGUAGAAUUAAUUAAAAAAUAUUCCAUUAUUGUUAUCAAUGUUAAGGGUCAUGAGCGAACAUGAUGUUGAAGCGUGAUUAUACGAUUUCUGAAAUCGUAAUUGAAGAAUUAUAAAAAUUCCAAUAAUAUUCAAUAAUGUUCAGGUAAAUAUCAUGAAAUAAUCAUGAAAUUUUUUUAUGAUAUAAAAAUCGUAUAUAUAAAACGCACAUUUAAUUUUUUUUCUAAAUCAAUAAUUAGAAUUAGCAUCGUAGGGCACGAUGAUGAGUCAGCCUUUCGCAAAAAGAUGGAUUUAAACCGCUCGUAGCAAUGAGAUUCUUUAAUUAAACAGAUUUUUUCUUGCCGUUUCCGCGAGAAGCAUGAUCGAACGGACUUAACGAUCUCAAUUUAGACGACGGGCUUCGUUAUCGAAGCGUGUCGACUAGCGGCGAUUAAUUCGCCGACAGAAGAAACUACUUACUUACGUAGGGUAGGGGAGGGGAGGGAGAGGGAGCACGUGUCUCUUGGGUUCACGGAAGCUGAUCGAUUACGAGAAUCAGUAGUCACGAGACGAACAAUUGGCAGAACUCGAGUUAAACGCGGCGGCCGACGCUUCUCGAGAACCGAGUUCCGCCGGGGGUAGAGGGCGCGUGCAAAUUUAUCCGCGUCUCGUGAUUUCGAUCAAUCGAGGAAAAUUUUCCUCCACUCCGUGUCGUGAUCGUUUCUUUCCUCUUGAUCGAAAGUUUUCAUUCAUCCAUUCGUUCGUUCGUUCGUUCAUAAAAAUUCAAAAUUCCUCCCUCCUCCUUCUCCCGAGGAGAAUUUUCUUAAUAUAAUCUCGUUCAAUCCCGGUAAUUCGAAUCUCGGAUCUCAAUUUAUCGGAAUUUUUGAGUAGAAGAGGUUCAAUAAAUUUUAUACGGAGAAUAAGAGUGUAUGUAUAUAUAUAUAUAUAUAUUCUUAAGAGAGAAAUUACGAUCCAUUUAAAUUAAAUUUUCAUGGAAAACCUUUUGCUUCCCAAAAGAAGUUGAUUCGACGAUCGAUCGAUGAUCGAUCGAACCGACACCGGUCUCGUCGCUUUUGCUAUUAUUUACUUGCCUCGAUGGACUCGCAUCGAUCGAUGCACCCCGUCGUACUUUUCCUCCUCUUUUAAAUACCUGAUCGACCGAAAAUCGUUUUAACGGGAUUUUACACCAUUUCGUAGGAAUUUUUCACGGGGGGAUUGCUUCCUUCCAUGAUCGACGGUUCCGACGACGAUAUCGAGAGCGCCUCUCUAUACGAGAACGGCGAUAAGCUCGCGCGAAACAAGCUCUGCGCGCUUUUCUCUUUCUUUCUUUUUCUUUUUUUUUUUUUUUCCCCUCUUUCUCGUGCAGCCUCGACGAGCCGUAACGAGGGAAGAAAACCUGGUUGCUCGAGAUCGAUGCACUUGCCCGAUUUAUGAACGAUCCGCAAAGUAAUUGUGCGGCGAGGCGAGGCGGCGCUUUGUUGGGAAAAAUUUUUUGACAAGACAAAGUGGAAGCGAGAAGGAAAGUUUAAUUUUCUUCUUGCAACGUUUCAUCGAUCGUUAAUAACUGUUUAAAGUUAAGGUUAUUAUACUGCCUAGGAGGCCUGUGCAAGUUUCGAGGAAAUUACGAAGAAACUCGAUCGAUCCAGCACUAUAGAAAUUCCUGCGAAAAUUCCAACUGGUAUUAUAUCCGGGGCGUGGAAUAACUUUGAUGAUUAAAAUUUGAUGACAAGUGUAUGACCCAUUAAUUUCCUCAACGGCCAAUUGUUAUGUACUUGUUACAUCGGAUGUAAUAUAAUUUUUGAAAAAAAAAAAAAAAAGAAAAAAAUAAAACUGUUUCGUCGAACGCGGAAAUUCAUUAAAAUAUUUCACAUCUGCCUCGAUUUCCAAUUGCCUGGAUUGGAAAAUGGAAUGAAAAUGUUGGCAAUUGAAAAGAGACAAUUAACGGGCAUUAAAGUUAUCAUUAUUAUUAUUAUUAUUGUUAUUGUUAUAGAAAACAAUUUUAACAAAUUUCCUGGGAUUUAAAUUUUUAUUUUCUACUCGUAGAACUAAAAAAAAAAAAUCGCACCAUACUUCGAACUGUUGAACCGCAAACUUGAUACGACAAACUUUCCCUAUCCCUUCGCAUUUCGAUAAUUCGAACAACAAAGCGCAACAAGCACGCCCCGGCCGACAAAAGAAGCGGAAUUUCAGAAUUAAUUAUUCGCCGUAUAAAAAGAAUUUAAAAGGGAGGAUCGGUGGAAUUGUUACGCGACCGGGACUCUUCUACAACAUUUCUCUUUCGGCCAUUCGUUUGCCACGGUUGGCCAAACGUUGCGGUUCCGUCGCAAAUGGCGAUCGCUUGCAAAUUUAAUUGAAGCUUUCAUCCAGCUUUUCAAAUCAUUUCGCUCGACCGCCGCGUCGUCGUGUAGAGGAGAAAUAUUAUGGAGGGAAAAAAAAAAAAGGAAAAAGGGAAAAAAAGAGAGAGAGAGGGAGCUCGCUUUGAAUACAUCGAUAACUCGCGCGAUUCCGACCCUCGACUCGAAGCGUAUUCAACGAGACGAAUAUAAUGGGCAGUGACAAGCCGAAAUAACAUUGCAUCUCCUUUGAGACGGUCGAUCUUGCUCCUUUUAUCUGCCUACCCUCUGUCUACCUUCUCUCGUUCGCUCACACGUAAGGACGGAAGGAGAGACUCGUGCGAGACGAUCUCGCGAUACAAAUUCGCAGGGCUCAUGAAACUUUCAUUAUCGAUCGAUUUCCUCGCUGCUCGUCGAUUUACAAAUCGUAGUAUUAAAAUCGAAUCGUGUCGAAUGUUCAUCGAAUGUUAUGGAAAGAACGGAAGGAGAAAGGAGGGGAGGGGAGAACGUUUCUGCCAUCAAUUUCCUCUUUUUGUAUUAUCCGAAGAGAUUUACAUAUUCAUGAAAGAAUUUCCCAAGAUUUCCAUGAUUAUUCGAAUAUUAUACCUAAGAGAAACAAUUUCGAUUGAAGAUUAUCUUUGAGAUAAGUAAUUGAGAGAGAAUCGUAAUUGAUCGAGUUUUCAAAAUAUUUAAAUAGGUAGAUUUUAAGUUUUGAUAUAGUUUUGUCAUUGUAAAAUUUACUAUGAAUUGCGAUUUAUUAAUGAAUUACGAAUUCGUUAAAUAUACGCGAGCUUGGAGGAAGAAUAUUUAAAUAAAUUAAGCAACUGUUUUUGUACAUAUAUAUAUAUAUAUGUAUAUGUGUAUAUGUAAUAGAUAAUAUAUGUACAUAAAUUACAUGCAAAAAUGCAUAUGUAAUUAUAAUGUGUUUUUAAUAUCUUGUUGGAUGACUUUUACGUGACAAAUUGCUUAAAUUUGUCGCAUUUUUAUUAUACAUUAUUACACUUAAGGAUAUUUCUUUGUUCUUAUGUUUCCAUAUGUAAUACAAUUUGUUUCGAUGAGUCAUAAUGGAUUGUACAUUUUUUUUUCUUUAUCAAAAUAAUUAUUCGCUAUCUUGCCAUUUAAUCAAAUGUAUACAUCGACCAGUGCUAUUAUACAAGCGUGCAAUAACUCAAUUUUUGCAUAUCAAAUUUAUUUCAACCUUCAGAAUCGUUAUUUAAAUUUUUUUAUCUAUUUCAUUCAAACAUUUUCUACCUUCUUCCAUCCAAAUAUACGUGUACACUCGGUACAAGUCUUACACGUAAAUUCUCGACAAAGUUCGAAAAACGAAUUUCAUCAUCGAUCAAUUUAAAGAACGUUUCGAGCUCGACGAUAUUUCGACGAUCUUGAUGGGGGGAGGAAAAAAAUCUUGUCACAACGCCGAUAACGUGUAUUGUAAUUGGUAUCCGGAGAUUAACGAUAAAUCUGGUUUUUGCCAGUGUUGUAGAUUCUAUGCAUAUUGCAUGAGGUUCGAUCUUUCAUCAUUUUUCUUCUCUCCCUUCCUUUUCUUUUCCUUUUCUUCUUUUCGUCACAGUUUUUCACACACGGACUAUAUAUAUAUACAUAUAUAUAGCCCUCGAACUCCUGUGAUCAAACCCCUUUCGAGAACGAAACGUGUAACAAUGGAACGAUGACUUUUAGAAAUACUUUUUGUACUUUAACCUGUCGUCGCGAUUCGUCGAGUUGAAAUUUGCUUGUUCGAUGAACAAUUUCGCGAGAAAGUCUUUCCUUUUAAUGUUGAAACAAGAAAGAGGAGGAAGAAAUUCGGACGAAAACGUCGAGAGAAAUUAUUACCUCUUGUAAACGAGUGCUCGAAUGGAAGCUUUCUACCUGAAAUUCCAUCAAAAUCUUCAAACUCCUUGCAACGUUCAAAGUGUUAAUAAUAGAUAAUGAUAUUCCUUUACGGCUUCUACAAUUUUCCGCUAUAAAGAGACACACAUACACACAUAUAUAGACUCUUCCUUAAUCACAUUCUGGAUUAAAUAAAGAAAGAAUAAUAAACAAUCUAUCCCAUCAAUUUUCUCGAUCAUAAACGCGUCUUCUUUUCUGCGAUAAUUGAAUCCACUGUCUCGAAUUUCAACUCGUUGAGACAAGAACGAAAUGAGAAAUUUUAUAAUCAUCAUUAUCACAACAAUUCGCACGAUCGAUCUAUCAUUAACUCGAAUCGAGAGUAUCAUAGAAUAAGAAUUUCAAUUUUCGAUGCGUGUGCAGCUGCUUUUCUUCAUUCUGUCUGCGUCACGAGACGGACGAAUCGAUGGAUGGACACCAAAUCGCGAAAUUGAUGCAAGCAGGUUCGACAAUUUCUCGAGGAAUUUCGAAACGCAAAUAGGAUCGACGUUCCUCUUCUUCUUCGCGCCGGUGCCCGGAUAUCCGGUCGAGCACGAACGAUCAUUCGUCCGUUCGUUUGCAUUGGGAUAACGAUGUUUGGCGAAAUGUUUCAAAUAUGUUUCGGAACGCAUAUGCCGGAUCUCUUUGAUUGACAAUGAUACGCGCUAUUUUGGGAUUAUUUGGCACGAAAUAUCAACAUUGUAGCCAGUUACGUCGAUCAAUUGAUAAAUUUAGAUGGAAAACGGGAAAAACUAGAUUGAUAAAUACGAACGUAACUUUCAAACGUGGAUGUUUAUCGAACAAAAUAAUAAUAAUUUAAUUUUUUGGAUAGCCUGGUAACAAAAAAUGUGAUAUCACAAAGUUUGCUUGCUCACAUUUUCUCGGUCAAAACGAUAUUGCAACGUUUAUAAUAUAUCUCAUCAGAAAUAUGAUUAAUUGCGAUAUUUAUAAAGGAAGAAGUUAAUAACUUUUUCGUACUUAAAAUUGUUUCUAAAAAAUCUAAUCUAUCAAAUAUUGACAAGUUUCGAUACAUGGAUAAAUAUUUGUUAUCGUCAGAUCGGAUGCUUUUACGCAAAAUUCUUCACUAUUCUCACUAUUCUCACUAUUCUCUUUCAAUAAAUUCAAUAAUCAAAAAGCGUCACAACGAGUAAAUUGAUCCCACAACGAUACGAUGCAUCCCAUCGAUAUCCAACACAGCCCCAUCUUUGCACAAUCGAUGAUUCCCAACUGAUACAAAAAUUCGUGCUAUCUUACGUUUCGUUACGAAAAAAAAUAAAAAGACAAAAUAAAACGAAGAAAAGUCCCCACGUCAUAAAAUGUAAUCCCAUUGUUGCCACGACUAAGUAGAUGGAAAAGGGAAAGGUAAAUGGGAGAGACGAGGUAAAAAAAAAAAGAAAAAGAGAAAGAAAAAAACGUUAAAAAGGUAAAAUACGGAGGAUAAAGAGGCAAGGAGAGGGAAUUAGAGUAAGCCCGGUUAGAGUAAACUGAACAAUGCUGUGAUGUAUCACGGUACAAUAGGGGUAGCUUGCUCUUUUGAAACUUCCUGUACAAAAUAUGGUAACAUCGAAAACACGGGAGGAGCAGGAGGAGGGGAAAAAUAAAAUUCAACGUUCUCUAAAGUGCCAUUCUAACCAGGAACGAGGUUUUCGUUGUUAAUGUUUUCCUCUCUCUCUCUCUCUCUCUCUCUUUUUUUCUUUCAUUCGAAACCACUCUUGUUGACGUCACGACGACGAGACGUAUUUUUACACGCGCGUUGCACGAUGCAACGUUUUCGGCUUGAUUAUUUACAACACGCGAUAAGGAAUCGUGAUAUAUGGACACGGAUCGGUCCCAGAUCUCGUUUAAAUAUUCCUGUAUUGUACACUUGGAAAGGGAUUCCUCUGGAUAUCGCAUACUUUUGCUUUAACAACGGUGAUUGAUGAAUCUCGAUGCUCACAUCGAGGAAUUAUCGUGGAAACGAUAAAAAAAAAGAAAAAUACGAGAUUUCACGAUUAAAUAUGUUCAAGGAUUGAGAAAAUUGCGGAGGCAUCUACGAAGUUUGCGAAGAUAAACACGUAAUUGCGUAGAUUCGUGCAUUAGUGUGAAGGAAGCCUAAUACCAGUCGAGGUUCUUCGAAAAACCUAAUACCAGUCGUCACGUUCAGUCUUAAGAGACUUUCUUGAGACGGGAAGCAAAAUUUCCCUUUCCUUCGAAUAAUUGUAUUUUGAAAAAAAGAAAAGAAUUAAUCGCGAUGGAAUUUUAAAGGAAACGUUUAUUACAAAUUUCAAUAUAAUUUUGCCGUAAACGCUUGUAAUAACGAGAAUAAGUCGAGACAAUAAGAGGAUCAAUUAUUUCGAUCGUUAAGUUAAGAGUGCAGACAAAUAAUCAAGAAAAUUAACUUGGAGGGAAGCGUAUAUAUUUCGCGUAAUAUAGGAAAUAAAAAAUAUUUUAAAUAAGGCCGCAAGAGUGGCGCAUAAAUAUGACGGCAUAAGAGAGCAUGGAAGAACGAAAGAUAUAUCAAUGGCAUGAAUUAGCGAGAGAGAAAGAGAGAGAACUUGCGCGAACCGGCGGCAUUUACCAUGUUCAACAUUUAAACACACGUUCUCGUUAAUAUGGCAAAUUGAUCUUAAAUCAUUCUCGUAUACGUGUACACGUACACGAGAUCGGUAUUAAACAGGAUCUAUGUGGAGAGGGAGAUCUCGCCAAUUAUCCAAUUAUCUCCCGUAGAAAAAUCUCGUCUCUGAGUCACGAGUUUGUUACGACCCUCAUCAUAACGUCGACGACGACGAGACAUCGUGGAAUAAAACGAUAGAACGCAUGAUAAUUAAAUCUUUAAUCGAUCGAUGUAACAUGAAGGAGGAGGAAGGAAAGAGGGAAGGGAAAAGAAAGAGAAAGAGAGAUGCGCGAAUUUCCGGCGAAAUUGCACAAGGUUCGACACAGGUUUCAAGGGAAGAAUGAGUUGGGGAAAGAAGAGGGUGUUAAGUGCACUCUGCAGUCAAAAUAUUUGUUUAAACGAGCUUGUUGCGCGUUCAUUAAAAACGCCACUCGACGAGAAUCGACGGGAUAAUUGGCCGUUUUUGAGAAAGCGUGUUACACUCGUGCGUCAAAAAUUUUUCAGACGAGAAUAAGCAGUCCGUUAAUGUAAUACUUUUGGUUCGAGUACAAAGAUGCGACGAGUCGUGUAAAGAUUCAUUUUAAAAUAUAUUAUUUGUUAUAAUCUUUGGUAAAUUUUUCAAAUUUCGGUCGCCAAAAAGAAUCUUUCUUUUCAUCGGGAUCUAAUAAUAUAUCCAAGUUACGCCACAUGAUGUAGAAUUCCUUUUGGAUGAAAUCGACUUUGAAAAAUGGACUCCUCCUCAUUGUAUUGCAUCCAUUGUCUGGCAAAAUAAAGAUUCAGGAUUUAAUUAGCGAAUUCAUUAAUGGAGAUAAGAAUAUUAUCGGAGUUGGUUUCGAAUCGUCUCACGUCAGAUUCAAGAUCUCUUGUGUCGCUUGCCUCGUUAUCAAUCAUGGGAUUCGCAUUAAUCAAGAACCGAAAGGGACAGCACAGGGCAAUAAAUACUGAUCGUCCAAUUAACGAGGAAUAUUCGUGCUAAACGAUAGCGAAAUUUAUCGAUGCCUUCCAUCCUAUGAUCUUCGAAAUAAAGACAAAGGGAGAGGAUGAGAGAGAGAGAGAGAGUAAAUGAAGGUUCGGAAAUUUCGAGAGUUUGCAUCGAGUUUAAUGAAUGAUGCAUCCAUUGUCUUGCAAGUUUGGUUAAACCUCACGAUACUCGUAAUAUUGUAACUUUAUAUCCACCAAUUUUAUCGUUCCAAGAAUUCGUAGAAUAAUUAUUUAAAAAAAUAUUGGAAAAUUUAAGUUAAUAUCUUCUUAUAUAAAUUUCCAUAAAUUCAUUAUAUAUAAAUUUUAUUUAAUAUACGAAACAAAAGACAACGAAUAUAAAUGAAUAAGUUAGAAACGUGUAAUUAAGAAAAAUGCAUUAUCUCUAUUAAAAGCUGAAUGAUUUUAUAAACAAACAUUUGAAAGAGUGAUGAUGAAUACGCUCGCAGUGUCAGUUGCCAGACUGCAACGUUUAUUUUCGUCGAUUAGGUAACGUAGUAUAAUAAUAAUAAUAGUUCGUUUCUCGUUUGACAUAAUAAUCGUCUAUGAUAUCUACUAUCGCCAAUCCUUUCAUACAAUUCAGAUCUAACAAUAACGAUUACCCACGCCAAUUCGACAGCUUGCACGAGUUUAUUCCGCAUUGAAAUAUUAUUUCCCGCCAAGUUAAAAUACAUUUGCUUUAGCAUCGAGCUUUUUAAAUCGUGAAGUAUAGUCUUCUUUGCGCGAUAUUAAAACACUUUCGAUCAGUUCUCAAAAAAAAAAAGUGAGUUAUACGUCUCGAAAGAGUUGUUACUGCGUUGACAAACAACGCAUGAAACGACUCGUCAUUUUUCUCGAGGACAAUGAAUUCGAUACGAAUGAUAAUUAGGACAAUCAAUUAUGCCUCGUGUCCAUCCAUCAUUUCCUGUGAUUUACGACUAAAGAAAAUAUAAUAACCCGGAUUCGAUUAUACCUCGAAAAUUGCCACUCGUGUUUGCUUAUAUUGUUGAGGUUAAAUAUUCUCGAAGAGAUUAGAAAAUUCUUAGAUCGAGGCGUGAUUAAACGUCAACACCGUUUUUACCCAGAAAAAACGUUUGCGUUUGAGCGGUCUCCGUGAGAAAAACCAUUUAUCAGAUUACAUAAAAAUGUUUUGAGAAACGUUACGAAUAUAUCGUCGAAUUUUAUUGACGGAUUAUGAUGAAAUAUAAUAUUUAACUUCUCUUAAUCGAGAGUAAUUAACAACGGAGAAAUUAUAACAAAAAAUAAACUGAAGAUAAAAUAAAGUAAUAAUAAAGUAAUAAUAUAAUACGUUUGUUUGAUAAUCACACAAUUAUACUUGAUGAUAAGAUGAAAAGAAAAUAAUUGACGUAGGUAGCGCGAUAUCGUCCCAUUAUCGAUUGUCACAACGAUAAUGCUUUAAUGUAUAUAAUUCAAACGAUGUCCAUUUCAACAAAUUCCAAUUCUCUAUUCAAUUUUUCAAGAUUGUCAAAUCAAGAACAAAGUUUACGAGGUAAUUUGCAUAUGAAAGAAAGUAAUAACAAUCUUUAACUAUUUCAAGCAACUUCGAUCAACAAAUUUCCAAAUUUUAGAAAACAAAAUUAAUCCUUUCCCGAGAGAAACCAAAGAUCUUGGCGGAUCAUAAUUCGCAACCUAUUAAGAUCUCCAAAAAUAAGCCAGCUCUUAAUUUUCCAAAAAUUACCAAAAAUCCAAUUUUUCGAGAUCGUGGCAAAGUGUUAUUCGUGGAUGGAAAAAUCUGCGUCACACGCAAUCGUCGUCAUCAUCCUGAUCAGAAAUUGUCACGAGCCGAUAUUUGCGUUCGGACACGUCUGCCAUCCCCAUUUUCGGAACGAGUUAAUCCUUACGUUGCACCGCGGCACGUCAUUGCGCGUUACUGCGCCAUCACGUUACACUUGGCCGUCAUCCAAAUGCACAGGGGACCGAUAGGGGAAACGCCAGAGGGCCAGAAAAGUUCGACUUUCCUCCCUGAUUUACAUCUUCCACCCAAAGUCGAUCGCCCCGAGAAUUCAAAUUCUCGCUGGUCAAAGCGCAACGCAUCCCGGUCUCCUCAUUUUCUUUUCUCUUGGACACCACUCAGUUGAAAUUGUUUCAACAAUUCGUUCCUUUCGAUUAAUCCGUAUCGCGGACAAUUAAUUCGUCACGGAUGGAAGUCACAGCUGCUGUCGGAUUAUUUGUGCAAAACUGGAGGAAAUCCGCGCAGAUCGAUCGAUCGAUGUCUGCCUGGGUUUAUAAUUGCCGGCCACCUCGUUAAUUUUAAAUCCUCGGGAAAUUUUUACAAAGAAACGUUGGAUUAUUGCGCAACUUGCGCGUUAUCGGAUUUCGUUUGUCGAAUUCGAUCUGCUAACGAGUCGCAAUUAAAUUUUACUUAAAAUCUCGUUUUUCGACCAAUUCUCCCUUUUUUUUUUAAUCUUUUACUUUUUUCACGUAAUAGUAAACUCUUCAAUUUGUUAUUCUUAAUGGAACAUUGAUAGCCUUUUAUAUAAUUAUUUUUCAACGUGUAAUUUUUUUAAAUACAAAAAAUUAAUUCGAAUAAUUAAAUACCUAGAAAAAUGUGAUACAAUAUUAUCGACAAAUUUUUUUCGAAAUUCUCCUUAUUAUAUUAACCCCCUUACAAAAUUUUUAACAUUUCACUUAACCUAAAUAUUGACAAAUACCUUCACGAUUCCUUCCUUUCUUUUUCUAGAACAAUAAAACACUCAGAACAAACUUCAGUUCUCCAAAAUUACACAACUACACGGAAGAAAAGAAGCACUAACACGAAAAAAAAGUAUGUUUUUGCACGUACCAUGGUAGAAAUUUUAUCAAUAAAAUUUAUCCGGAGCAAAAAUUGUUCGCGGAUGGUGACGGAAUCGAUGCUCGAACACCUGACGCUGGACGACAGUUGCGUCGAUCAUCAACGAUCGGGCAGCGAUCGUUACCUCAUUCCAUGUGUCAACACAUCCCGCGAAUGGGAUUCGUUGUUUUCGUUCAUUUCGCGGGUAGCGAUAAUCGAGCGUGUGAUCCGCAAUGGUCAAUCUUCCUCCCUUUUCUCGGAAAAUCUUUCGCUUCCUGAUUGCUUUUCUCCUAUCUUCUAUCUACGAUUCGUGUAUAAUGGAGGUUGGAUUUAUUUAUUACGAUUAAAUAAUCCUCUCUGUGUAGAGUGCAGAGGAGAGAGAGAGAGGGGGGAGAGAGAUUUGCACAGCUGUCGCGAGAUUCGAUCGAUGUUUCGAAUAAUUAAGAAGAUAUCGAAUCGAUGAGCGCAGGAUUUAGUCUUAAUUUCAGCCUUAAUGGAAAUUUUGGAAAUAUUAUAUAUGCAGGGUGAUCGAGAAGUUAUAAAUCUUUCUUAGUUAAUGAGAUAUUCUGAUUUGUAACGAUGGUAAUAUUUUAAUAUAGGUUAAGUUGUCCACAUUUCCAAAGUGUAGAAGAAAAGUUAUCUAAUUUCUUACAGUUGUGGUUAUAUUUCUAGGUCACAAUAAAAAAAUUGUAAUUAGUAACAAUGACAAUAUUUCGAUAGAUUGGAUUGGAUGGAUAUUUUACGUAUAUUUUAUUCCUUUUUUAAAAUUUUCUGGAAUGAGCUUCAAAAUAUAUUUUAUUCUUGAUUAAUCAUAAAUAUUUUAUUACGAUGAAAUUUUGUCCUUUCUCUUUCCAGCUUUUUAUUGUUGAUUUCUGGGUGGUAAUUUAUAACAUCUCGUGUUUUAUAGCGCAAUAUGACAAAGUCUAGUCUUAGGGAUGGAUCACAAGGCGACACGAAAGUUUAAAAACUGAUUAUUCAAUAGCUAGAUCGGCAAAUAUUUGUCUCGAAAAUCGAGACAUAGAGAUAGCAAGACAAAAUUUCUAAUCUCUUAUGUGCUCUUAUUUAACUUUCUUCUCAAACCACAUGCUUGAAGUCAUACAAUUUACAUCUCUCUCUUCUUCUUUUUUUUUUUUUUCUCUUUUCAAAAUCCGGAGUCACGUGUAACGUGAACGACGUAGAAUUCUGUGGAUAAUAUUUACUUCAACGUACGUAUAACAUUUUUGAAUAUGUUUGGAGCCGCUUUGAAUUUCCAUUUGCUAUUUAAAAUUAAUGAAGCAUUGUUGAUCUUUUAAAUCAGAUGACAAGGCCUUUGGAAAAAUAAGACAUCCGUGAAAAGAAGAAUUCACGUUUGAAAAAUACCGUGCAAUAAAAUGUAAUGUAAUCGAUACGAUUCUUUAUCAUCGAUUAAAGCUGUUGAAAGAAAAAUUAUUAAGAGCAGAUAAGAGAGAACGAUUUAUAUAAUAAAAUUGUACAUCGAUAAUCUACAUUUUUAUUUUUAUGAUGGUAAGAAUUCAUUUAUUGAGAUCACGUUAUUUUUCAUUUGCGUUGCUGCCUUUUGUCAAUUUAUCUACCACAUUACAUUUUAUUACGUUCGUGUAAUCUUUUAUAAAUUUGUAGUGUUGUAAAAUUUUGAAAAUUAAAAUUGUUUAUGACAUUGUCAACUUCAACUUCUAAAUACUAUAAAUUUUUUUUCUCUGUUUACGUUUGUAUGCUUUUACGCAUCAUUAUUUAUGAAUAUUUUACUUUUCAAUAUUUACCUACUUAUUUCGAUAGUUAUAUAAACCAAACAUUUCCCACUUAAAAAUCAUUUUCAUUUCUAUCGCGUCGCAUCGCACGGAUAAAAAAUUUAAUAAUUCCAGCUCUGUUUUGCCAAAUUUUUAACUUUGAAUUAUUACGAAUAUACGACGAUACGAAAAGAUUAUGCUAGUUUAAAAAAAAAAGAGAAAAUCACGAACCAAGCAAAGAUAAAAAGGCUACAAAAGCACGAGCCAGCAUUAAAAAAAAAAAAAGUUUCACUGCGCGGUUAAAAAGGAUUAUGCAUUAGUUCCAUCGGAAAUCCCUCCUAUUCUUGAUGGCGCCACACUUUGGGCAAGGUCGCGACAUGGAAGGAGAAAUGGCCGCCAGUGGAAAGUUCCCGCGCGGGCCAGACGUAUUAGCGGUUUAAUAUUAUGCAAGUUUGACGUGUUAUGCUACACACGGUGUGUUUGAACCUGAUUUAUCCAUCGACAAACACCCGUACGUUGAUUCAUGAUACCGUCAACAAUUAAUUCUCAGAGGCGGCAAUAAAUUUCCUCGUGCAAACAUACAACGAUAGUAUGAACGAGGUGAAAUAAAACUGGUACUUCGAAACGACGACUUCGAAACUUUCACCAUCCUAUAUAUAUAUCUCUUCUAUGUUUCUAUCUAUCUUUUUCGCGUGAAUUUCUGCAAACAAUCAAAAGUGCACAGUGCGAAAGAAACAGCAACCGAUGCUCGCCAAGGAAAUAAUAGUCUUUUUCAUGCUUGUAAUCGGCUUUAUAACUCUGUUUCGUUUCGUUUUCAGCGGAGGAAACAGAGGAGAAGAAGAAGGAGAAAUCGAUCGAUGUAGUCGAAAAGUAGAUUUAUUCGAAAGCAACGAUGCGACGUCGUUUCGUUUGAAAUCCCUCUUACGUUCGCUCCAAAGAGAGCUGAACUUCUUCCACUGUGAUUUCCUUUUAGCCCUCGGUAGCCUGUUAAACUGAGGUACAGUUGCAGUACUUAUCCUUAUCGGACGAGUGGUAAAAGGGUAAUUUCAUUACAAUAUAUAUAUAUAUGAUUUAACGUUCAAUGCCGUCUUACUUUUCAGAAAGAACUUAUGAUACUUUUCUACUCUCUGUAAAUAUUUUAAAACAGCUUCGAUCUUAUAAUCCUCAAUUUAGCUCGUGGCUAUAAGAAUAAAUUAUAUCUCCAAAAAAAAACAACGAGAAUAUAAAUUUUAAAUUCCCCUAUACAUAUUAAUGUAUUCGCGAGAUAUUUUUGGAUUAAAUCGAUUUUGGAGGACAAAACAAAUUUAUUAAUUUGCUGAAUAAAAUCGUCCCCUGUUUCGCCCAAUGUAAACUUAAUUACUUUUACGAUUUAACAAAUAAAUCUCAACCGUAAUUUUUAUA